rnacentral:rRNA from 1 species
AUGACGGUGUGCUGGCGGCCACGGGAGCAUCAGGACGGUGCGAAACACUGUGUGGCUGGCUUUGGGAUGAAAAAAACAUUCUUCCAUCCCCACGGCCGGCCGCCCCCUCGCCGCCGGCUGCUGCCAGCGCAGUCCGGCGUCUCGCAGCGGUGGUCACCAGACUCCGGCCCCAUCAUCGCCUCCCUCCUCUGCUCGCCCGCCCCCACUCCACGCCUUCCCUUGCCGCCUGCCGCCUGCCGCCUGCCGCCCGCUCGACUCCCUCCUCUCCUCGCCGCGCCCGCCCACGCCCGCACCCCUCCUCUGUCCUCUCCCUCCCUGAAUGCCACCGCCUCCCGCCCUCCUCCGUGCCAAGCAAGCCUCUUUCGCGCCCCCCACUCUUCCCCCGCCCAGGCAGCCGGACUCUCUCCUGGCCUCCUCCCUCGCCUCCCUCGCCGCGUUCAACUCCCCCCUUGGCCGCGCUCGCCCGCGUCUGUCCGUGACCUCCCUGGCAUGACCCAGCUCUUUUCCUCCAUGCGGGACGCCACCGUCCGGCCCGGCGUUGUCACGCCCGCACACUCGUCAUGGGGCUCUGCCAAGCCGGCCGCGCUCAGGGCGCUCGACGGAAUGCCCGGCCCAAACUCGGGCGUUCGCCCGGCUCGGAUGUCGUCAUUCAUGCCGAACACGGUCGUGGAUGGGGUGUGCGAGAGCGGGAGGAUCCAGGCGGCCGUUGCGUUCAUGGAGGACUGCUGA